AGAAUGCAUCUUUACUCUUCUUUCUAAACCUGCUCUGCCUUUCAUAAUGUCAUUGUGCCUUUUCGUAUCACUCGACAAUAGCAUAUCAUUUGAGUAUAUUUCUUCCCACUUUUCUUUAAUAUCACAACCUUUUUCAACAACAGUAUGUGUAAAAACUCAUCCUAUGUCCCAGGCACUGAAUGAGGCUCUACGAUUAUAGGAGUGAAAAAGACAGUUCUUGCACUAAAGAAGCUCCUGGCCAAGAGAGGAACACAGACAUAUGAAGAGACAUCAAGUUAUGGUUAGUGAGUGUGUGAGGGGAUGAGCUUAGAGACAGUGCUGUAGGAGCUCAUGAAAGAACCACACUACCCAGGGGCAUCGAUCCAGGCCUUCUAGAGGAAGGGCAAGUGUGAGUUAUCAGGUAAAGAGAGAAAGUGGAAAGGUAGAGGAGGUUUUCCAGGCGGGGCGAGCAAUCCUGAGAAAGAAUGCAAAGGCCAGAGAACAUUGUUUUCCUGAGAAGGAAAGUAGUUCAGUGUGACUUGAGAUGAGGCCAAGAUCCCUAAUUUAAUUCACAUUCUUCUGUUGCUUCUACUUCAACCUCUUCUUGCUCUUCCGAUCUGUCAGGUCCCAGGGAGGCUGCUUUACAAUAAAUUCCUUCGAGCUGCAAAAUGUGACCAACAUGUGUUCCUGCAGGCAUUUCUGGCUCUUUGACUGUGAAUCACUCUCCGCUCCAUCUGCAUUUGGCCAGGCAACACCUGAAGACUAUCUCGUUCAUCAUCUCAGAGAAGUGAUGGAUUUGGAGACUAUAGAAAUGACAGAAAGAGAGACUAUUUCCCAUUCUUCCCAGUUUCUGAAGCUCACGUGAAGCCAUCUGAGCUCUGCUCCACUGAACCCAGAUUCUCGUCUUGUAAUCAGUGUAAAAUCGAUACGUCAUUCUUUUGUGCUUUGAAUCACUUGAUCAAUAAAGUGAAAACUGUUUAAGUAUUUUAAUUAAUACCACCCCCCCCCCCCCCGUCCCAGAAGGGAACUUGUUAGUCUGCAUGUUUCAAAAAUUACAUUACAACGCCACUAUUGUCUUAACAAAAUGUACCAUCAAGAUGCCCUUCCUCCAGUGUCUCUUUGCUUGGUUUUCCUCCUAAAAUGUUCUCACUUUCCCAGACAACAGCAGGGAGGAUUUUUAAAGAAAUGCUUUCCCACUCGAGGUCACUAAAACAGUUCAGCAUCCUUCUGGGUUCUGCUCUGCUUGUCCAAGCCCUGAGCUUCACAUGGCAUAGACACUGUGGGUGACCUUGCAAUUUUUUGAAGGAUUCCCCCGUGAAUUUUAGGAAACUGAUGGGAUGUCUCUGCAUCAAGGACACCUGAUGACACAGAUGGGAGGAAUUCAGGGAGCACAGUAGCCUGUGGGGUUGGGCCCAUGGGUU
rnacentral:lncRNA from 1 species